UCCUGGCUCAGGAUGAACGCUAGCGGCAGGCCUAACACAUGCAAGUCGAGGGGUAGAAGCUUUCGGGCUUUGAGACCGGCGCACGGGUGCGUAACGCGUAUGCAAUCUGCCUUACACUAAGGGAUAGCCCAGAGAAAUUUGGAUUAAUACCUUAUAGUAUAUAGAAGUGGCAUCACUAUUAUAUUAAAGAUUUAUCGGUGUAAGAUGAGCAUGCGUCCCAUUAGCUAGUUGGUGUGGUAACGGCAUACCAAGGCAAUGAUGGGUAGGGGUCCUGAGAGGGAGAUCCCCCACACUGGUACUGAGACACGGACCAGACUCCUACGGGAGGCAGCAGUGAGGAAUAUUGGACAAUGGGCGCAAGCCUGAUCCAGCCAUGCCGCGUGCAGGAUGAAGCAUCUAUGGUGUGUAAACUGCUUUGUACGGGAAGAAACACCUCUUCGUGAAGAGGCUUGACGGUACCGUAAGAAUAAGGACCGGCUAACUCCGUG
rnacentral:rRNA from 1 species